CACAAGCGGAGGAACAUGUGGUUUAAUUCGAUGAUACGCGAGGAACCUUACCUGGGCUUAAAUGUAGAGUGCAUUUUUUAGAGAUAGAAAUUCCCUUCGGGGCUUUCUGCAAGGUGCUGCAUGGUUGUCGUCAGCUCGUGCCGUGAGGUGUCGGGUUAAGUCCCAUAACGAGCGCAACCCUUAUCGUUAGUUGCCAUCUGGUAAUGCAGGGGACUCUAGCGAAACUGCCACCGUAAGGUGAGAGGAAGUGGGGAUGACGUCAAAUCAGCACGGCCCUUAUGUCCAGGGCUACACACGUGUUACAAUGGUCGGUACAGAGGGCAGCUACCUGGUGACAGGAUGCUAAUCUCGAAAACCGGUCUCAGUUCGGAUCGAAGUCUGCAACUCGACUUCGUGAAGCUGGAUUCGCUAGUAAUCGCGGAUCAGCAUGCCGCGGUGAAUACGUUCCCGGGCCUU
rnacentral:rRNA from 1 species